AAACAGUCCGUUACAACUGUCAUGUCGAACUUACCUUUUCCCAAUCGAUUCCUCUUCUCUCUCUCUGUCAGGGUCUGUUCUUAAUUUCUUCCUGUCUCCUCUAGUUUUCUUUAAAAUCAUAAGACAAAGUAGGGACUAUUUGUCUUAUGGAGGUUUAUUACGCCUGACCAGCUAUGACCAGCGGAGGAGCAAAGUGUGCUUCAUUUCCGGUGAUCAGAACAAUUUUCCCACAAUUCUCACCUUUCCUCUGUGUUCCUGCGAAGCCUCCUUUCACAUUUUCCGAACGUCACUUAGACAGAAUGCCAGUCAAAC